GCUCAAGAAACUACAGAGAAUUGUCCCAGCUACUAGGAAGGCUGAGGUGGGAGGAUCGCUUGAGCCCAGGAGUUCUGGGCUGUAGUGCACUAUGCUGAUCGGGUGUCCACACUAAGUUCGGCAUCAAUAUGGUGACCUCUUGGGAGCAGGGAACCACCAGAUUGCCUAAGGAGGGGUGAACCGGCCCAGGUCAGAAACGGAGCAGCUCAAAAUUCCCAUGCUGAUCAGUAGUGGGAUCACACCUGUGAAUAGCCUCUGCACUCCAGCCUGGGCAACAUAGCAAGACCCCGUCUCU
rnacentral:SRP_RNA from 1 species